GCCUGGAUGGCUCAGUAGGUUGAGCGCCCAACUCUUGAUUUCGGCUCAGGUCAUGAUCUCAGGGUUGUGGGUUCGAGUCUUUUUUCAGGCU
rnacentral:tRNA from 1 species